rnacentral:snoRNA from 1 species
CCCCUAGAUGAAGACGAGCUCAUCUCCUACAUCAUCAACGCCCUGGACAUGGAGUAUCAGCCACUGGUCUCUGCCCUUGAUGCUUGUGUCAUCCCAGUCACUCUUGACGAACUGUUCGCUCAGAUGAGCAACUUCGAUC